GCAGACACAUUCCAGCCAAUCAGCAGCAGACGCUCCCUCCCAGACCCUCCCACCUCCUGGACAGCUCACUAAGAAUGCAGCUUCACAAUGGAUGCUGUCCAGGAGGUGGGAGGGUCUGGGAGGGAGUGACUGCUGCUGAUUGGCUGGAAUGUGUCUG
rnacentral:miRNA from 1 species